AGCCUUCCUAACUAAGACCCCCAUAGAAGUGACAAAAUCUCAAGAGCACAAUACAAACCUUUGCCCUGUCCAGAGAAGGUUAGGGGCCCUUAAACUAAAUCGCCUGAUUUUUUUUCCUUUCAGUUUAACACAUCCAAACCCAGCCCUGUUGGUUAACAUGAGCUUAACCGUGUGCACUCUUCUGAUGUUGCACUACAGGAUUCCUAUGCCCUAAAGUUCCGAUUUUCCAGAUGAUUACCUCUCGCCAACUUUUGGAGCCGCCCGAGUGUGAAGGGCCCCCGAGCAGUUCAAAAUAUCUGAGAGGGAGCGUGAAAGUUUGCAAAGGGAAAUGUGUAGGAACUCCGUACGCUGUCUGCCAUCGAGCCAACUUACCCAAUAAAUACCCGUUGAAUGUGUUUCCAUUUAAAGAGAUCAACUCCCUCUGUCUCACCCCACUUUCUAAGCCUCAAACUUUAUCGGGUAGCGCUUUACCUUUACAGUGGCCUUAUUUCAGCAUAUUAAUCUCUGUAUUAACCGAUACAUAUUUAUAAAAUGGGAUUACUUACUGGAGAUCUUCCUAACAUUCACAAUACACAUAGGUUUUUUCCUCAAACACUGGCAGAAUUAACAUGCAUUUAAAAUGCUUUAAUACACAGGUUAAGCAUCGGAAUAAGGUCCUUGUAAAAUCAGGCGUUGCCCUCCUUUUUUCCUCUCUCUCUCUUUGUAUAGUGGCAUUAUAUAUACUGAGGAAGUGAUUUGUUAAUAUGUAUAAUUUAGCAGUUGCUCUUUUUUUGUAAAUAAUGAGAAAGUAUUGUGAAUGAAAUUUGUUGAAUGGUUUAAAAAAAAAUCAUUUAGGGCAAACCUCUCCAGGCUUUUAUAAAUGUGACUGCAGUAUAUAGCAUAUUUUGUAUGUAAGACAGCAGUGUGAAGAUAAAUAAGCAUUACUAGAAGCUGAAGAAACUACAUGUAAAUGUUGAGGAUAAUAGCAUACUGGACUUGUAAUUACUGAUGUACAUAAAAAAA